GCCCCUUGUUCUUAUCCUUGCCACCAAUGUCAUUGUUGGGGUCCAAGGCGUCAGCCAGGUCGAACUCAUCAGCAGCUGUAGAGUCAGAAGUUCCGCUGCUGGCUCACGAGGAACGCUGGCUAUAAACAAAGAGGAAGCUGCAGUCUCUCACCUGGCUUGGGUUUGGGCUUGACGGGGGCCUUG